GCAUCUGUAUAUCAGCAGCACAGAUACAGGUGUAAAACAGCUGCUACUGCAAUUCCUCUCCUUGCCUAUUGGUGGCGCCAUGUCUAGAAGAGCAGGUCAGAACUGGCGCUGUGGCUCUGUAGUUGGGUGAUAUUGGCGCCUACCAGCCGCACAGGUGUGUGAAGAUGGAUUCAAACGUAACCGCGGCGCUGGGUUGGUGAAAGUGGCUUCCGUCCAUACUUUGGAUGAUGGACUUCAAAAACAUCCGGAUCUAAAGAGACGAACUCUAUCACUUGUGAUGUCACUGUCACCUAGCAACAGAAAGUGGGAUUAAACACCGAUACUGUCUACUAACGGGGCCCUGGGGACACAUCCUCACAGGUCUGUGUCCGUGAUCAUCUUCUGUUAGAGCUGACAGUGCAACAUCACCUACUGUAGGCUAUAAUAUUCUCUCCUCUAAUAUCACUGUCUGUCACAGGACCGCCUCUCAUAUUAGUCAUGGAACGAUUUGCUAUGGAAAGAUGUUUUUUACCAUCUAACUUCAUGUCAAAGCAUUCCCUCUUUAUUUCUGUCACAGUACAGUUCUGCUCUGAUAACAUGUCGAUGUAUCAAUAUUUACUCAUUGUUUCGGGUCCCCUACUACUGACACUCAUGAACUUAUUAUGUUUUUGUCUGCUGAUUUCUGAUAACAGGACUUGAAGAUCUGUGGUGUGAAAUUCUUAUUUUUACUCUUUUCCAUAAUGAAGGAUCAAGUAAAGGCGGGUGAGAGGCUUCAGGUUUCAGUGAUAAGUGAGACUGAAAUACCCCCUUUCAAACAAAACGUUAACAAAAUGGCAAUUCAGUCAGAGCAUCAUGUUCUAUUGCUUGUGCUUAAAAAGCCUUUUUGGCUUAGCCAGUGGGGCUGGACCUCAGAAUGGAAAACAAAUUGUGACCUCAAAGUCUGGUUGGUGUAAAUAGUAUUGGUCAUUGAGAGGUAAUUUUAGAAGGUAAUCAAUUUAAAUGAUUUCUUCAGCAGCACUGAUGAAGUUUAGAUUAGUACCUAACAUUUGAGCAGAGAUCUAAUUUAUAGUAUGUAUUCACCAGGAAUGGAAUAUGAGCAGGUAGUUGUGUUAUAGUGCUAACAAAAAUAAGUCUAUAUUCAUAUAUUGAUACCCCACCUUUUGAAGUUUGCCUUCUAAAAUUUGGAUUCUUUCAUUAAUGUGUUAAAUUUGUCCUCUGGCUCAGUGUUUCAUCUCAUAGGUCAUUUUCCUGUCCCUGUUGGCUAAUCUGUCACUGGCUGUGAUCCCAUCUCCACUCUCAAUCACAGACGUGCCCUCAAGUCUCAUUUCAGUCUGCGGGCCUCCCCUCAGAGGGCUUCCAGGCAAUAAGGACUUUCUGGAACUUCUGCCUAGUGAAGGCAUAGAGCAGAGGGUGAAAGAUAGUGGUCCCAUAUGCCAUGACCAGAAAGCCCAG